rnacentral:rRNA from 1 species
GAAUCAGGUAGGGAUACCCGCUGAACUUAAGCAUAUCAAUAAGCGGAGGAAAAGAAACCAACAGGGAUUGCCCUAGUAACGGCGAGUGAAGCGGCAACAGCUCAAAUUUGAAAUCUGGCUCUUUUAGAGUCCGAGUUGUAAUUUGCAGAGGGCGCUUUGGCUUUGGCAGCGGUCCAAGUUCCUUGGAACAGGACGUCACAGAGGGUGAGAAUCCCGUACGUGGUCGCUGGCUAUUGCCGUGUAAAGCCCCUUCGACGAGUCGAGUUGUUUGGGAAUGCAGCUCUAAAUGGGAGGUACAUUUCUUCUAAAGCUAAAUAUUGGCCAGAGACCGAUAGCGCACAAGUAGAGUGAUCGAAAGAUGAAAAGCACUUUGGAAAGAGAGUCAAACAGCACGUGAAAUUGUUGAAAGGGAAGCGCUUGCAGCCAGACUUGCUUACAGUUGCUCAUCCGGGUUUCUACCCGGUGCACUCUUCUGUAGGCAGGCCAGCAUCAGUUUGGGCGGUAGGAUAAAGGUCUCUGUCACGUACCUCCUUUCGGGGAGGCCUUAUAGGGGAGACGACAUACUACCAGCCUGGACUGAGGUCCGCGCAUCUGCUAGGAUGCUGGCGUAAUGGCUGUAAGCGGCCCGUCUUGAAACACGGACCAAGGAGUCUAACAUCUAUGCGAGUGUUUGGGUGUCAAGCCCGAGCGCGUAAUGAAAGUGAACGGAGGUGGGAACCCGCAAGGGUGCACCAUCGACCGAUCCUGAUGUCUUCGGAAGGAUUUGAGUAAGAGCAUGGCUGUUGGGACCCGAAAGAUGGUGAACUAUGCUUGAAUAGGGUGAAGCCAGAGGAAACUCUGGUGGAGGCUCGCAGCGGUUCUGACGUGCAAAUCGAUCGUCAAAUUUGGGCAUAGGGGCGAAAGACUAAUCGAACUAUCUAGUAGCUGGUUCCUGCCGAAGUUUCCCUCAGGAU